CAUGAUGUCAAUUAGAGUUGUUAUUUCUAAGCGAUAGAAUUGUGGGGUUUUUUUUCCUUUUUAAUAGAUUUCCAAAAAUAUUCUACAAUGGCUAUGUAUUACUUUUAUAAUUAAGAUGUUAAAGUCCUGUGGGGUCAUUUCAGAAAAUAAUCAUUACUGUAAUGAUUUUUCAGUCUUUCCAGUGUCAGCCUGCCUUUAGCUAAGAUAAUUCCAAUAGUAAACGGACAGAUCCAUUCAGUUUGCAGUGAAACACCUAGUCAUUUUGUUCAGGGCAGCCUUGAACAUACCAGGAAGCAAUAGGAAAAAACUGGAGAAAGUGAAAAGGCUGCGAUGAAGGAAAAGAGGAGACAAACAAGGGUGACAUUGGCUGGGCAGCAAAGAUGACCAAAAGGCCAAGAAGCCUGUGCUGUUCCAGUAUUGAUCCGGUGCUCCUCCGUCACCAUCCGACCACAGAACCUCAGGCUGAUAGUUGUUCACUAACUCAUAGAGCUCUGGCAAUGUCUUAGAAACUGGAAAUUGCCGCUUAUGGAAUGAACUGGAUUCAUCCUCAAGGAAGAGCGGAUGAAACCAUUCAAAAAGGGAAUAGUACAGUCCAAAACGCAGGUUCUGGCUCUGUCACCCAGGCUGGAGUUCAGUGGUGCGAACUUCGCUCACUGCAUCCUCGACCUCCUGGGCUCAAGUGAUGCUCCCACCUCAGCCUACCAAGUAGCUAGGACUACAGCUUGGGAAAGUUCCUAGACAUCAGGAAAUCAGCAUGUUCUCAAGCAAAUACACUUGAUAGACAUUCAUCUCAGCAGGAUAAAUAUCUACAGGAGAAAAUCAUGAAGCUACCAGAAUGUGGCCAAAGGGAAAAAUAUCCUAUGAUCAUUCCAGAUUUUUUGUGUUGGUUCUCCUCUCCUAUUCCCAUCCCAUCCCUGGAGAAAACAAUAAGGCAAAGUUUCCCGUUUUUUUUUUUUUUUUUUUUUGAGACAGGAUCUCCCUCCGCCACCUAGACUGGAGUGUAGUAAGCCUAUCUCCGCUCACUGCAGCCUCAAGCAGUCCUCCAACCUAAGCCUCCCAAGUAGCUGGGACUACAGAGACAUACCACUACGCUAAUUUUUUAGUUUUUGUUUGUUUGUUUGUUUUUGUAGAGACAGGGUCUCACUAUGUUGCCCAGGCUGGUCUUGAACCCCUGGGCUCAAAUGAUCCUCCUUCCUCGGCCUCCCAAAAUUUUGGGAUUACAGACAUGAGCGACCACAUCCAGUGCAAAUUUUUUUAUACCAAGGCAAAGAUGAUCAUGCAAAAGAAACUAAUGAAUGAACAAGCCGUUGGAACAAAAACAAUUUGUUAAUGCUUCCCUGGCCUUACAAAUACUGGAGUGGUAAUGGGUGGAAUCCAUUCUAUUAAAAUAGAAUGGAUUUUAAAUGUGUGGGGGUUUAGAUAUUCUUCUACCACCUCUGAUUUUUCUGGAAACCAUUACAGUUCCACAAUCCUUUUCCCUCCAGGUGAUCUGGGUCACUUUCAUCACUUUCAUCACUAUCAGUUCAUCCACUAUUUGCACCAUUUGGCCAGCUAAGAGUUGGCUAAAAGUGCAGCCAGGUGUGUCGUAAUGAUGCAAGACUAUAGCAGUAUAAUCCCCAUGAUGCAUUCACAGGAUGCAUUACAGAGAAGGGGAAGGAAAGAGUGCAAUUCCAAGAUGAACUUUGACUUGCAACCCACACUCCCUUCAACAAACAGCUUUAAGUAAAUCUUGGAAAUAUUGUUCAAAAUACAUGUGACAAAACGUGACCAUCUUUCCUCUGUUACGUGGCGGGUAUGAUCCUUUCUGUAUUCCUAACAUCUCUCAAUUUGGGUUGAAUGUGCAGUCCCUAAGUCAUAAGCAAGUGCCAGUCACCACUUAUGGUUGCUCCGAAGAGAAAAUUAGACCUUGCUUUAGUUUUUUCUUCCAAAAGAACAACUUUUCAUUUCUUAACCAUUGUCAGCAAUUUCCAUAGGCUGGAUUGACUUACCUUCAUGAUGUUUGGAAGUUAAGACAAUGUAUUUGGCACCAGAGGCCUGAAAAAUAUCUGCCCACUGGUUGGCAUUAAAAAAUUUUGCUGU
rnacentral:lncRNA from 10 species